UUUUUCACUGCUUUUGACUGCGGCAUGCUGCAUGAUGACGACGACAUUAAGUGCCCUCUGCCAUUGAGUAAGAAAGAAUGGUUGUAUCUAAAGGCAGUUUGUGAUACCAGAUUUUACUUGCCGAGCGUAAGUGGUAAGGUAAACGUGAAGCUAACGAACUACAAAGCAGAAGAACUGAUUUGCAUUGAAGGCCAAAUUCGUACAUUCUAACUAACAAGUAGGGCCUGCCACGUCAGCCAGGUUAAACAAAUCAUGUCAUGUUUACAGUUAGAAAACUCAAGUACCCCAUGUAAUCUUUUACCAUGAAGAAUUGCCUAUUAUGUAUAGUACUUAGUAGCUACUUUUACGCGAAUGUAGACAUAAAUGAAUACAUAGCAAAUAAGAUCGAAUCUAGGACGAGAUCAUGGCUGAUGUUUAAUUAUGUACUACUGUAUACAGAAAGUAUGAUUUCGUCGCUGAUAUAUAUGGACAGCUUUUCUAUCAAUGGUGAUACGAUAAAGCAGGAACAUUUUUUUUACUAUAACGUACGUGAACAGUGAACAUAACUGAAGAAGGAUAUAAUAUAAAUAUUAAAGAAUAAAUGAAUAUGUUCAUGUUAAUUUUGUGCUUGCUGAAGUAUAAUUUCUAAAUAUAGAGGGCUUGAUUUACAAUAUUAUAAAAUUUAAAGAAUAAACUACUGUUGCUGUUCA